rnacentral:tRNA from 1 species
GGGAGAAUGGCACGGUGGUUUAGCGCUGUUGCCUUGCAAGAAGUAGGUUCCAGGUUCGAGUCCAGGCCUGCUCG